rnacentral:rRNA from 1 species
AUUGAACGCUGGCGGCAGGCCUAACACAUGCAAGUCGAACGGUAACAGGAAGCAGCUUGCUGCUUCGCUGACGAGUGGCGGACGGGUGAGUAAUGUCUGGGAAACUGCCUGAUGGAGGGGGAUAACUACUGGAAACGGUAGCUAAUACCGCAUAACGUCGCAAGACCAAAGAGGGGGACCUUAGGGCCUCUUGCCAUCGGAUGUGCCCAGAUGGGAUUAGCUAGUAGGUGGGGUAACGGCUCACGUAGGCGACGAUCCCUAGCUGGUCUGAGAGGAUGACAGCCCCCACUGCAACUGAGACCCGGCCCAGCCUCCUCCGGGAGCCAGCGGGGGGGAUUUUUGCACAAGGGGCCAAGGCGUGAUGCACCCAUCCCGCGUGUAUGAAGAAGCCUUUGGGUUUGUAAAGUUCUUUCGGGGGGGAGGAAGGGAAAAAAGUUACUCCCUUCGCUCAUUCACUUUCCCCGAAGAAAAGCCCCCGCCUACCCCCGUC